rnacentral:rRNA from 1 species
AGAGUUUGAUCAUGGCUCAGAGCGAACGCUGGCGGCAGGCUUAACACAUGCAAGUCGAGCGGGCGUAGCAAUACGUCAGCGGCAGACGGGUGAGUAACGCGUGGGAACGUACCUUUUGGUUCGGAACAACCCAGGGAAACUUGGGCUAAUACCGGAUAAGCCCUUACGGGGAAAGAUUUAUCGCCGAAAGAUCGGCCCGCGUCUGAUUAGCUAGUUGGUGAGGUAACGGCUCACCAAGGCGACGAUCAGUAGCUGGUCUGAGAGGAUGAUCAGCCACAUUGGGACUGAGACACGGCCCAAACUCCUACAGGAGGCAGCAGUGGGGAAUAUUGGACAAUGGGCGCAAGCCUGAUCCAGCCAUGCCGCGUGAGUGAUGAAGGCCCUAGGGUAAAAGCUCUUUUGUGCGGGAAGAUAAUGACGGUACCGCAAGAAUAAGCCCCCGGCUAACUUCGUGCCAGCAGCCGCGGUAAUACGAAGGGGGCUAGCGUUGCUCGGAAUCACUGGGCGUAAAGGGUGCGUAGGCGGGUCUUUAAGUCAGGGGUGAAAUCCUGGAGCUCAACUCCAGAACUGCCUUUGAUACUGAAGAUCUUGAGUUCGGGAGAGGUGAGUGGAACUGCGAGUGUAGAGGUGAAAUUCGUAGAUAUUCGCAAGAACACCAGUGGCGAAGGCGGCUCACUGGCCCGAUACUGACGCUGAGGCACGAAAGCGUGGGGAGCAAACAGGAUUAGAUACCCUAGUAGUCC